rnacentral:ncRNA from 1 species
ACCUGGGAUACAACUAGUGUGUUGCUCUGUCCUGGAUGUCCAUUAUCAGCCAGGACGGAAACCUGGUGUGGAGUAAAAGGGUGAAAGCUUACUUGGUUUAGAUUUCCCGUACGAAUACAGACCGUGAAAGCGUGGCCUACCGAUCCUUUUGAUUUUGAUGUUCGGAAUUUGAAGCAAGAG